ACGCUACAGUCUGAUCACCAGCCAAAGAAAUCAUUUGAUGCUAAUGGAGCAUCUACUUUAUCAAAACUGCCUACACCCACAUCUUCUGUCCCUGCACAGAAAACAGAAAGAAAAGAAUCUACAUCAGGAGACAAAUCCGUAUCACAUUCUUGCACAACUCCUUCCACGUCUUCUGCCUCUGGACUGAACCCCACAUCUGCACCUCCAACAUCUGCUUCAGCGGUCCCUGUUUCUCCUGUUCCACAGUCACCAAUACCUCCCUUACUUCAGGACCCAAAUCUUCUUAGACAAUUGCUUCCUGCUUUGCAAGCCACGCUGCAGCUUAAUAAUUCUAAUGUGGACAUAUCUAAAAUAAAUGAAGGUAAAUCUUCAUAACAGUUUUUUAAAAAUUUAUUUGCAUUGUGCAAAGUUAUGUAAGUAGUAAAAUCCCCAGUUUAGGAAUGGUCUUUGUUUUCUUUUGAAAUUUAUAGUUGAACACUUUUUUUUGUUUUGUUUUUUGUUUUUGGAGUUUGGAAAUUUAUAU
rnacentral:sRNA from 1 species